UGGAGGGGAGCGACCUGUCGAGGCUGCAGCGGCCGGUGGUGGAGGGGAGGUGGCCGAGGACCUGGACGAUGCAGCUGAUGGCGACGCUGUAGCUGGUGGGGGAGGGGAGGGCACGGGAAGGGGUGAUGCAUCUGAUUCUGGUGGUGGAGGGGGAGGGCGUCGGCUACGUCUGCGCGGCAUCGGCGACGGCAUCGGCGACGGCGACAGCGACGGCUAGGGUUUUGGGGAUUUCCUCCCGGCGAGGCGAGGGGAAAAGAGAGAAGCUUUCUUCCUGGAUAGGAUGGAUGGAAUGGGAAGCGAGGAGAAGGGGAAAGCUAACGGAGGUCGCGUAAAUGGGCCAGGCCCAGGCCCAGCGCGCAGGAACGAGAGCCCUCACGUCGCAUGGGGAUCUCCUAGGGCGAGUUUGGUUUCAACAAGUCACUUGACUUACAGUCAG
rnacentral:rRNA from 1 species